rnacentral:rRNA from 1 species
GACGAACGCUGGCGGCGUGCUUAACACAUGCAAGUCGAACGGAAAGGCCCUGCUUUUGUGGGGUGCUCGAGUGGCGAACGGGUGAGUAACACGUGAGUAACCUGCCCUUGACUUUGGGAUAACUUCAGGAAACUGGGGCUAAUACCGGAUAGGAGCUCCUGCUGCAUGGUGGGGGUUGGAAAGUUUCGGCGGUUGGGGUUGGACUCGCGGCUUAUCAGCUUGUUGGUGGGGUAGUGGCUUACCAAGGCUUUGACGGGUAGCCGGCCUGAGAGGGUGACCGGCCACAUUGGGACUGAGAUACGGCCCAGACUCCUACGGGAGGCAGCAGUGGGGAAUAUUGCACAAUGGGCGGAAGCCGGAUGCAGCAACGCCGCGUGCGGGAUGACGGCCUUCGGGUUGUAAACCGCUUUCGCCUGUGACGAAGCGUGAGUGGCGGUAAUGGGUAAAGAAGCACCGGCUAACUACGUG